GGUUUAGGUUAAAACCAAGGAUGAGAAAUAUACACAAAUAUUUUCCCACAUGUACUAGUUCAAACUGUGCAUACAAUAAAAUCUUUAUGUAGUGUAUUGAUAUAGACACUCAGUGAUGUAACAAGACUUGGCUUCUUUGUUAUGUUUUAUUACCAGUAACUAAAUGAUUACUAUAUUAACAUGAUAGAUUAUAUUUUCAAUCUUAUUAUACAUUAUAAUAUAAUUAAGGUUGAUUGAAAUUUUAAUGUAUACAUGUAUUACUAGGAUGUUUACUUGUAAAGGUUGCAUAGAUUGUUCUUAUGCUUCACAGGUUUGUUAUUCGCUUUUUAAAAGUUAUACCAAACCAAUUACACCAAUGCAGUUCUGCUCAAAAUAAGGAUAUAUUAUACUGUUGUUUUCUAUGAGUUACUGGUGAAUAUAUGGUAGGUUGCAAGGAUCAUGACACAAAUCUACAAUUUUGUUGCCCACAGGGUGAUUUUUACAACAACAUUUUGUCAUAUUUUUUUAAAAAUUAUUUUAGAUUGAUAUGGAAUUGUUUAACCUCUAUUUAGUCAGUUAGAUAUUAUGCUACGACUUUAAUUUAUAAGUAACUGUUAUCUUUGUAUGGCCGUGUUUUGUUGUAGUAUAUUUGUUAUAUGAUGAAAUAGUGCUUCACAUAUUUCACUUAACUUUUUCAUGUCUUUCUGUCCUUUUUUUUUGGUGCUUGAUUUGUUGAACUUAUAUAGUGGUUAUUUAUAUAUUUUUUUCAUGCUUAUCUUUUAUUUAUACAAAGUGCAAUGAAGUAAAUAAUAAAAAAAAAAUAAGCAGAUGAAUG
rnacentral:sRNA from 1 species